CCGUCACCUCGGACGUGAUUUGGGGUCCUGCUGUUAUCUCGCGGCGGAAGAAGCGGGACCCCGGAUCAAGUCCGGGGUGACGGA
rnacentral:tRNA from 1 species